rnacentral:rRNA from 1 species
UUCUCUUGAGAGCGGCGGACGGGUGAGUAAAGCCUAGGAAUCUGCCUGGUAGUGGGGGAUAACGUUCGGAAACGGACGCUAAUACCGCAUACGUCCUACGGGAGAAAGCAGGGGACCUUCGGGCCUUGCGCUAUCAGAUGAGCCUAGGUCGGAUUAGCUAGUUGGUGAGGUAAUGGCUCACCAAGGCGACGAUCCGUAACUGGUCUGAGAGGAUGAUCAGUCACACUGGAACUGAGACACGGUCCAGACUCCUACGGGAGGCAGCAGUGGGGAAUAUUGGACAAUGGGCGAAAGCCUGAUCCAGCCAUGCCGCGUGUGUGAAGAAGGUCUUCGGAUUGUAAAGCACUUUAAGUUGGGAGGAAGGGCAUUAACCUAAUACGUUAGUGUUUUGACGUUACCGACAGAAUAAGCACCGGCUAACUCUGUGCCAGCAGCCGCGGUAAUACAGAGGGUGCAAGCGUUAAUCGGAAUUACUGGGCGUAAAGCGCGCGUAGGUGGUUUGUUAAGUUGGAUGUGAAAUCCCCGGGCUCAACCUGGGAACUGCAUUCAAAACUGACUGACUAGAGUAUGGUAGAGGGUGGUGGAAUUUCCUGUGUAGCGGUGAAAUGCGUAGAUAUAGGAAGGAACACCAGUGGCGAAGGCGACCACCUGGACUAAUACUGACACUGAGGUGCGAAAGCGUGGGGAGCAAACAGGAUUAGAUACCCUGGUAGUCCACGCCGU